rnacentral:rRNA from 1 species
GACGAACGCUGGCGGCGUGCUUAACACAUGCAAGUCGAACGGAAAGGCCCUGCUUUUGUGGGUUUCUCGAGUGGCGAACGGGUGAGUAACACGUGAGUAACCUCCCCUUAUCUUUGGGAUAUCUUCUGGAAACUGGGGCUCUUACCGCGUAUAACCUCUUGCUCCGUGUGGUUGGAUGGAGAAUUUCGGCCGUUGUGGCUGGUAUAGCGGCUUAUGCGCUUGCUGGUGUGGUUGGUGCUUUCGAAGCCUUUGACGGGUAGCCGGCAUGAGAGCGGUACCGGCCACAAUGGGACUGAGAGACGGACCAGACUCGUACGGGAGGCAACAGUGGAGAACAUUGCAGAAUGGGCGGAAGCCUGAGGAAGAAACCCCGCGUGCGGGAUGACGGCCUUUGGGUUGUAAACAGAUGUCGCAUGAGACGAAGAGUGAGUGACGGUAAUGAGUAAAGAAGCAACGGCUAACUACGUG